ACAUCAUAGGAUAGUUUAGUAAAUAGAAAGGCUUUCUAGAAGGAAUUUAGUUAAGACUGCUAGAGAAAAUAGUUUCUAUAGUUCUAGAUUUGGUUUCCUUUUCUCAGACCCAAUUCUUAUCUCUCGAUUUCCUUCCUCUUCUCUAACCUAUCUGCGCUUCUCUCAUCUUCUUCUCUGCUCCUCUAUUAUGAGCCAAGUUUUGACAGAUUUUCCCCCAAAAUUAGUUUCUUAAUUUCCUUGAAUUUGUUUCUAAUCGUAUAAAGUUGAGAGAAUUGUUAAGUUUUUUUCUUGUUCAGAGUUUAUAUGACCGAAUACUACCAAACCCUAACCCUCAAUUACUCAAUCACACACGAUUUUACCCAUUUCAUUACCUUCUCAACCAAUAAUUGUUCCAACCUAGCCGUAUACUGAACCCUAAUUUUUGUUUAUCAUCUGAAAUUCUAUUUUAAUUUUAUUUUUUAUCUAUGGAAUUUGAAGAUGUUUAUUAGUAAUUGAUGAUUCCCUGACUCUUACAAGAAAACCGAGUUGGAACUUGGUAUCUUGAUUGUAAUGAGUGAACUCAUUGGUGCAGAUAUUCCUAAAUAACCAAACGGUGUGAAAUGCAGAUGAUUAUCACUUGGAAAUACCUCAUUUAACAAGUAUCCAGUGCUUUACAGUUGUGGUUCUAUUCUUUAUGUGCUUACUUGUGUUCUUCAGAAAAUAUGGGAUAGAAUUGGCGAGAGUGAUACAAGGCUGAUUUGCACGAGUCUCUGGCUGAGGAAGAUUCUGAAGUUGUUAAUCUAAGGAACCAUCUUGGUUUGAGGCUUUACUGGGGUCUCAUAGUCCAUAGACAUUUUACCAAGACUGCUGGAUUUUCCAGGUUAUAGGUUCUAAAUGUUGGCCCUUGAUUUCAAGGUACAUGGCAUGUUGGCCUUUAAUUUAAGGUACAAGGCCAGUGCUAGUGAAGAAACUCAUAUUUGCAUUGCAUAUUUGCAUGCCUUAACAACAACAAAUAAGCACUUUCAUGUUUUCUAUGAAUACAUGGCGGAGCAAGAGAAUGAACUGUGUGAGCUGGUAAGAUAUGUCGUCGGCGGUAGUUCAGUUGGUGACGGUGGUGUUGGUAGUGACUUGUAAUCGAAAGGGUACACGAGAUGGAUAAGGUGUUGCUUUUAGUAGUACGGAAGGUGAAGGAGAUGAUGGUGUAGUGUUGUAGUAGUAUAUUUAGAGCUGGUACUGAAGAUGGUGGAGGUUGGGAUUCGUAGUACUAUGCAUGGGUGGAUGUGUACUGGAAUUGACACACAGAAUAUGUUCUAUAUAUGCAGUUGGUAUCUUUGCAGUUAACCUUCUAAUGGCCAAACUGACUUUUCCCACCGGUAACAAUGGAAACAGGAUGAUGUUCCAUUGUCAGCAUUAACAGUUUCCUUAAUAAAUGAUUUCACAUUUAACUAUGACAGAGGAGGUGCUUGUUCUACAUGUAACGAGGUAGAAUAGUUCCAGAUCGUUUUUCUUGAAAAGACAUAGUUAGAGGUUCAUUAUGCUUCUUUCAGAUACAAUUAAUUGUUUUUGUUUGCGUGUUUCUGGAUUCCUUCCACAUUGGCUUCUGUCGAUGCCCUUGAAAGGUACACCUAGCUUUCCAGCGGUUCCCUUUGCAAACCUAGCAAACCUGGCAUUUUGUUCAUUGAUAUACAUCCAUUCAAGAACGGCUCUCCUGCUCGUCGCACUCUCAAUCAUCAAUGACUUCUGAAAGGGAUCUGGAAAUGCAAUAUCAUGCUAAUUGACCUAUUAGUUUCUGACAGAAAACCAAGUGCAGAAGCUUCCUAUUUCAAGUGUUGCAGAUUCCUCUUCUUCAAAGACAGACACCACCUGACAAGAACUGGAACUAUGGAGAAGCAUUAUAUUUAACCUGAAAUUUCACUCAUGUUGCCUUGGUAGUUUUUCUAUAGUGAUUUGCUUUUUAGAUUUCUGUAAGCUUCGUAAGUUGUUUUCAGAUUUGGAAUUGAUUGUAGUUUGUUAUUGUGAAAUGAAAUCCAUGUGUUUAGUGAAUUUUUCGCAGAUUUAGAACUUGAGUAAUUGUAGUUGGUUGGGGUUGUAUAAUUAAUUUAGUGAACAUAAGUUUAAUUCAAUUUUAGUUUCUUGAUUUGUUUCAA